rnacentral:rRNA from 1 species
UACGUAGGGUGCGAGCGUUGUCCGGAAUUAUUGGGCGUAAAGAGCUCGUAGGCGGUGUGUCACGUCGGCCGUGAAAACCUGCAGCUUAACUGUGGGCUUGCGGUCGAUACGGGCAUCACUGGAGUUCGGCAGGGGAGACUGGAAUUCCUGGUGUAGCGGUGAAAUGCGCAGAUAUCAGGAGGAACACCGGUGGCGAAGGCGGGUCUCGUGGGCCGAUACUGACGCUGAGGAGCGAAAGCGUGGGGAGCGAACAGG